rnacentral:lncRNA from 1 species
CAUAUUAUAUAACGAAGUUGAAAUACAUGGGAAUACAGUAUGCCAAUCCAUUACCACUACUAACAUGUUACAAAAAUCGAUAUAUGUUGUACAAUAUAAAAGUGCAACACGCAUGUCCACCACAUGAAAAUGCUAUGUAUACAUGGAUACACCUUAGAGUACGACAUAUAGGCCUAUAAAAAGAGUAUCAUUAACAUUAAAACACCAUUUUAUGUGACGGCACAUGACAAAUUCAAUUAAAUGAGUAACAAUAAUAUUACAUUUAAUUGAACUUAUCAUUUAAUGCCAUUCAUAUGUCACAUAAGGUGGCGUUCUAGCACAAUGAUGCUAGAUAGCAUUAUUCACUAUAAAAUUAAUUUGGCAAGAAUGUACAACACAUGAUUAAUGCACACAAUAUUGUAGAAACUGUUAAAUGCCUAUCUAUUACCUGAUUAGCCAUUAGUGAUGCAAUCUAAUUAUCUAGACUUUAUGACAAACAGAAACAGUAUUGGGAGGAACAACUGGAAUAGAGAAAUAUGGAUCCACCAACACAAAUUCAUGUCCAAUUCUAUAUUCUUCAACGCAGAUAAUGCAUCGAUAGAGCAUUUUUGCCUUCUUCCAUAUAUAGCAUAUAGAAGCAUACCAAAAGCUUCGUUGAUUAUGCCGCUCUUGAUCAGUGUCGAAAUUUCGUGUUUCUCCUUGAUUUCUGUCCGUUAUUGAUUCAUUACCUUUAUGUUUCAUCGACCGCCUUCUCAAUUCCAUGUGUGAGUAAAUGCUCUCUCGAACUAAAGUUGUAUACUUUCAGAUUUACUCGUGCUUGGCCAAGUGAAUCAAAGUUCUCUUUAAUCAACUGCCGACCUUGUCAAGUUUAUAAGAUAUUAUGAGCAUGGAGUUGGUAGGUAUAUGAGUAUAGAGCAUCUUAGAGAGUGAUUCAUUGAGAUGUGUAUAUAGGGUUUUAAUGGGAAUUGAAGUUUGGAAAUGGUUAAUUCCAAAAAGGGCCCAAUGGUUAACAAUAACGCGUGAAAGGUGGGACUUUGAUUUAAGGUCGUCUUAUCAUUUUCAUUCAUGUAGUACUCAUUAGCG